rnacentral:rRNA from 1 species
AAGGACCAUUAUACCACCCUGAAUGUCUGAUUUUGGAAGCUAAGUAAGGUCAGGCCUAGUUAGUACUAUCAUGGAAGACCACCUGGAAAUACCUGGUGCUUUA